GGUUUGACAGCGCUGGGCUGUUGCGUCUCUGUCAGGCACCUACUCUUAGCAGGCUCUGGGUGCAGGUCCGCUGUGGGCUCACGGCCUAGUCUGGCCCCACAGAAGGCCCUCCUGGAGGUGCUGGAGGUCCCGGGCCAGUCCUGGCACCCUCUCUAGGAGGCAGGUGUGGGGAGACGGUGGGCAGGAGGGGAGCGUAGGAGACUCUGGAUGGGGUCACUGAAGAGCAGCUUCGCUGGCAGGGCCUUGUGGGAAUCGCCAUUUAUUGCAAGCCUCGAGGUGUUAGUAAGAGCGCAGGAGCGGUGGAGACCCGAGGCCUGGCCCAGGGAGGUGGUUAUGAAUCAUGAACAUGAGCUGACCUCCCCCAGGAUCAGCUGCAAGAAGAGGCCUCCCCGAUGAUGCGGAGCUGCUGACCCAGCAGCAGCAUCCAAGCCCUCGGACAAAUCCUGCGACAGGAGCUCCCAGGAACACCUCUUAUCCGUCCUGCGCCCUGACGUCCCCACAGGAGCCUGCUUCUCCUCCCCCGGGAGCGGCCCGUCUGCAGGCUGGCCUCGCGUCCCCGUCCGGGAACCACUUCCUGCAUGUACAAGUGCAAACAAGAGUGCUAAUGCGCAAUUGCAAACUUUGUGGUGUGUCUUCAACCGUGUUUAGGCUCAACGGGUGAGCACCUUUAGCAAAAGUAGCCAAAGUAGCAAAACAAAUACGAUAGGAUUAUGCUAUCCACGAGAUUUCACAAGAAGAAUUCGCAGUGACCGGAUCCAGAGAGGAGUCAGACUUCUGAUGGAGAAGGAAAGCUUACCCAAGGGUGUUUACUGCGGCGCUAUUCAUAGCAGCGAAAAAAUUGGAAAGACCCCAGAUGCCCAAGACGUGCCUGCGGAGGAGUGAUUCGUAGAGAAGGUGCCUGCGAGCAAGCAGCUGGAUGGAAACAGAACUUGAACUCCCUCCCAGCACGUGGGGAUGGACACGUGCACAUCGCAAGCGCUGGAAGAGGCAAAAGGUUAUAUAAGUAGUUGGGAUUCUAAGUACUUUUAAGUCUUCUUCCAAGCUUGGGAACACAAGGGAAAUUUAAAUGACAUGCAAGGCGUUUUUCCACAGGCGGCCAUAAAAAGAGAUGCUCGGUGUCACCUGGCAUUGCUUUCUCUCUUUGUUUUUCUUUGCUAUACAGCUGUCCCCCCUUCUCCACGGGGGGUGCGUCCCGACACCCCCAGUGGAGGCCUGAAACCAAAGGUGGUACCCAGCCCUACCUAGACUAUGUUUUUUUUGUUGUUGUUGUUACAUCCGCGCCCACGGUAAAGUUCUUAAUUUAUAACCCAGGCCCAGUAAGCGAUGAACAGUAAAAACUGGCAAUAAAACAGAACAAUCAUAACA